rnacentral:rRNA from 1 species
AAAGUUAAUAUUUAUUAAUUUAUGUUUAUUUAUUGGUAAUUUUUAAUAAAAAUAAUUUUAUAGUUAAAUUUUUAGUAUAUUUUAUAGAAAUAAUUAAUUUAAUGAUAGUUUAAUAGUAUUGUGAAAGAAAAUUGAAAUAGGUUGAAAAUUUAUUUGUUAAAAAGAAAUAUUUAUUUUAUGUACCUUUUGUAUCAGGGUUUAUUAAUUAAGUUUUAUUAAUAUAUGAAUUUCUCGAAUUUAAAAGAUUUAAUAAAUUAUUAAAGUUAAUGUUGAAUAAUUAUUUUAAAUAAUUUAUUAGAAAUGAAAUGUUAUUCGUUUUUAAAUAUAUCUAGUUUUUUAAGAAAUAAAUUUAAUUUACAUAUAUUAAAUAUAGUACUUUAUUUAGUUAAAAGUAUUAUUUUAAUAUAUGAAUAUAUUAAGGGAUAAGCUUUAAUUUAAUUUCUAUAAUAAAUUUAUAAAAGAUUAUAAGUGUAGGGUUAGAAAUAUCCAUUACUAUAAAGUUUGUUUUAAUUUAUAGAUUAUUUUUAUAAUUUACUUUUAUUUAGAUUUUUUAUUAAAAUAAUUAUUUUAAUUAAGAAAAUAAUGAAAUAAUGAUAAAAUUAGUAUAAAUAAUUGUUUAUUUUAAUUUUUUAAAUAGAUUAAAUUAAGGAAUUCAGCAAAUUAAUACUCACCUGUUUAACAAAAACAUGUCUUUUUGAUUAUAAUUUAAAGUCUAACCUGCCCACUGAAUAUUUUGAAGGGCCGCGGUAUUUUGACUGUGCAAAGGUAGCAUAAUCAUUAGUCUUUUAAUUGGAGGCUUGUAUGAAUGGUUGGAUGAGGUAUUAACUGUCUCAAUUUAAUAAAUAAUAGAAUUUUAUUUUUAAGUUAAAAAGCUUAAAUUUUAUUAAAAGACGAGAAGACCCUAUAGAUCUUUAUAAUUAAUUUUAUAAUAAUUUUUUAGAUUAAAUUUAUUUUUAUAAGAUAAAUUAUUAUAUUGGGGUGAUAAAAAAAUUUAUAAAACUUUUUUUAUAUUAAAACAAUGAUAUUUGAUUAAUUGAUCCAUUUUUUGUGAUUAUAAGAUUAAGUUACCUUAGGGAUAACAGCGUAAUUUUUUUGGAGAGUUCAUAUCGAUAAAAAAGAUUGCGACCUCGAUGUUGAAUUAAAGGUUAAUUUUAGGUGUAGAAGUUUAAAAUUUUGGUCUGUUCGACCAUUAAAUCUUUACAUGAUUUGAGUUCAAACCGGCGUGAGCCAGGUUGGUUUCUAUCUUUAAUUAAAUAAAAUAUCUUAGUACGAAAGGACCAGAUAUUUAAAAUAUUUUUUAAAAAUGAAUAAUAUUAAU